rnacentral:rRNA from 1 species
GGCGAUGAAGGACGUGCUAAUCUGCGAAAAGCGUCGGUAAGGUGAUAUGAACCGUUAUAACCGGCGAUGUCCGAAUGGGGAAACCCAGUGCAAUUCGUUGCACUAUCGUUAACUGAAUACAUAGGUUAACGAGGCGAACCGGGGGAACUGAAACAUCUAAGUACCCCGAGGAAAAGAAAUCAACCGAGAUUCCCCCAGUAGCGGCGAGCGAACGGGGAGCAGCCCAGAGUCUGAAUCAGCUUGUGUGUUAGUGGAACGGUCUGGAAAGUCCGACGGUACAGGGUGAUAGUCCCGUACACCAAAAUGCACAGGCUGUGAACUCGAAGAGUAGGGCGGGACACGUGGUAUCCUGUCUGAAUAUGGGGGGACCAUCCUCCAAGGCUAAAUACUCCUGACUGACCGAUAGUGAACCAGUACCGUGAGGGAAAGGCGAAAAGAACCCCGGCGAGGGGAGUGAAAAAGAACCUGAAACCGUGUACGUACAAGCAGUGGGAGCACCUUCGGGUGUGACUGCGUACCUUUUGUAUAAUGGGUCAGCGACUUAUAUUCUGUAGCAAGGUUAACCGUAUAGGGGAGCCGCAGGGAAACCGAGUCUUAACUGGGCGUUAAGUUGCAGGGUAUAGACCCGAAACCCGGUGAUCUAGCCAUGGGCAGGUUGAAGGUUGGGUAACACUAACUGGAGGACCGAACCGACUAAUGUUGAAAAAUUAGCGGAUGACUUGUGGCUGGGGGUGAAAGGCCAAUCAAACCGGGAGAUAGCUGGUUCUCCCCGAAAGCUAUUUAGGUAGCGCCUCGUGAACUCAUCUUCGGGGGUAGAGCACUGUUUCGGCUAGGGGGUCAUCCCGACUUACCAACCCGAUGCAAACUACGAAUACCGAAGAAUGUUAUCACGGGAGACACACGGCGGGUGCUAACGUCCGUCGUGAAGAGGGAAACAACCCAGACCGCCAGCUAAGGUCCCAAAGUCAUGGUUAAGUGGGAAACGAUGUGGGAAGGCACAGACAGCCAGGAUGUUGGCUUAGAAGCAGCCAUCAUUUAAAGAAAGCGUAAUAGCUCACUGGUCGAGUCGGCCUGCGCGGAAGAUGUAACGGGGCUAAACCAUGCACCGAAGCUGCGGCAGCGACACUAUGUGUUGUUGGGUAGGGGAGCGUUCUGUAAGCCUGCGAAGGUGACCUGUGAGGGUUGCUGGAGGUAUCAGAAGUGCGAAUGCUGACAUAAGUAACGAUAAAGCGGGUGAAAAGCCCGCUCGCCGGAAGACCAAGGGUUCCUGUCCAACGUUAAUCGGGGCAGGGUGAGUCGACCCCUAAGGCGAGGCCGAAAGGCGUAGUCGAUGGGAAACAGGUUAAUAUUCCUGUACUUGGUGUUACUGCGAAGGGGGGACGGAGAAGGCUAUGUUAGCCGGGCGACGGUUGUCCCGGUUUAAGCAUGUAGGCUGGUUGUCCAGGCAAAUCCGGAUAAUCAAGGCUGAGGUGUGAUGACGAGGCACUACGGUGCUGAAGUAACAAAUGCCCUGCUUCCAGGAAAAGCCUCUAAGCAUCAGGUAACAUCAAAUCGUACCCCAAACCGACACAGGUGGUCAGGUAGAGAAUACCAAGGCGCUUGAGAGAACUCGGGUGAAGGAACUAGGCAAAAUGGUGCCGUAACUUCGGGAGAAGGCACGCUGGUGUGUAGGUGAAGCCCCUGCGGGUGGAGCUGAGACCAGUCGAAGAUACCAGCUGGCUGCAACUGUUUAUUAAAAACACAGCACUGUGCAAACACGAAAGUGGACGUAUACGGUGUGACGCCUGCCCGGUGCCGGAAGGUUAAUUGAUGGGGUUAUCCGUAAGGAGAAGCUCUUGAUCGAAGCCCCGGUAAACGGCGGCCGUAACUAUAACGGUCCUAAGGUAGCGAAAUUCCUUGUCGGGUAAGUUCCGACCUGCACGAAUGGCGUAAUGAUGGCCAGGCUGUCUCCACCCGAGACUCAGUGAAAUUGAACUCGCUGUGAAGAUGCAGUGUACCCGCGGCAAGACGGAAAGACCCCGUGAACCUUUACUAUAGCUUGACACUGAACAUUGAGCCUUGAUGUGUAGGAUAGGUGGGAGGCUUUGAAGCGUGGACGCCAGUCUGCGUGGAGCCAACCUUGAAAUACCACCCUUUAAUGUUUGAUGUUCUAACGUUGGCCCCUUACCGGGGUUGCGGACAGUGUCUGGUGGGUAGUUUGACUGGGGCGGUCUCCUCCCAAAGCGUAACGGAGGAGCACGAAGGUUAGCUAAUCCUGGUCGGACAUCAGGAGGUUAGUGCAAUGGCAUAAGCUAGCUUGACUGCGAGCGUGACGGCGCGAGCAGGUGCGAAAGCAGGUCAUAGUGAUCCGGUGGUUCUGAAUGGAAGGGCCAUCGCUCAACGGAUAAAAGGUACUCCGGGGAUAACAGGCUGAUACCGCCCAAGAGUUCAUAUCGACGGCGGUGUUUGGCACCUCGAUGUCGGCUCAUCACAUCCUGGGGCUGAAGUAGGUCCCAAGGGUAUGGCUGUUCGCCAUUUAAAGUGGUACGCGAGCUGGGUUUAGAACGUCGUGAGACAGUUCGGUCCCUAUCUGCCGUGGGCGCUGGAGAAUUGAGGGGGGCUGCUCCUAGUACGAGAGGACCGGAGUGGACGCAUCACUGGUGUUCGGGUUGUCAUGCCAAUGGCACUGCCCGGUAGCUAAAUGCGGAAGAGAUAAGUGCUGAAAGCAUCUAAGCACGAAACUUGCCCCGAGAUGAGUUCUCCCUGAGACUUUAAGUCUCCUGAAGGAACGUUAAAGACGAUGACGUUGAUAGGCCGGGUGUGUAAGCGCAGCGAUGCGUUGAGCUAACCGGUACUAAUGAACCGUGAGGCUUAACCUU